rnacentral:rRNA from 1 species
CUAACACAUGCAAGUCGAACGGGAUUAAGGGGCUUGCUCCUUAAUCUAGUGGCGCACGGGUGAGUAACGCGUAGAUAAUCUGCGUGAUGAUCUGGAAUAACAUCCCGAAAGGGGUGCUAAUACGUGAUAAGCCCACGAUGGCCUUGGUCGUUGCGGGAAAAGGGGGGGACCUUUUGGCCUUCCGUCAUCAGAUGAGUCUGCGUACCAUUAGCUAGUUGGUAGGGUAAAGGCCUACCAAGGCUACGAUGGUUAGCUGGUCUGAGAGGAUGAUCAGCCACACUGGAACUGAGACACGGUCCAGACUCCUACGGGAGGCAGCAGUGGGGAAUUUUGCGCAAUGGGCGAAAGCCUGACACAGCAACGCCGCGUGAGUGAUGAAGGCUUUCGGGUCGUAAAGCUCUGUCAAGGGGAAAGAAGUGUAUUGUGGUUAAUACCCAUGGUACUU